AGACCCGAAACCCGGUGAUCUAGCCAUGGGCAGGUUGAAGGUUGGGUAACACUAACUGGAGGACCGAACCGACUAAUGUUGAAAAAUUAGCGGAUGACCUGUGGCUGGGGGUGAAAGGCCAAUCAAACCGGGAGAUAGCUGGUUCUCCCCGAAAGCUAUUUAGGUAGCGCCUCGUGAAUUCAUCUCCGGGGGUAGAGCACUGUUUCGGCUAGGGGGCCAUCCCGGCUUACCAACCCGAUGCAAACUGCGAAUACCGGAGAAUGUUAUCACGGGAGACACACGGCGGGUGCUAACGUCCGUCGUGAAGAGGGAAACAACCCAGACCGCCAGCUAAGGUCCCAAAGUCAUGGUUAAGUGGGAAACGAUGUGGGAAGGCCCAGACAGCCAGGAUGUUGGCUUAGAAGCAGCCAUCAUUUAAAGAAAGCGUAAUAGCUCACUGGUCGAGUCGGCCUGCGCGGAAGAUGUAACGGGGCUAAACCAUGCACCGAAGCUGCGGCAGCGACACUGUGUGUUGUUGGGUAGGGGAGCGUUCUGUAAGCCUGUGAAGGUGUGUCGUGAGGCAUGCUGGAGGUAUCAGAAGUGCGAAUGCUGACAUAAGUAACGAUAAAGCGGGUGAAAAGCCCGCUCGCCGGAAGACCAAGGGUUCCUGUCCAACGUUAAUCGGGGCAGGGUGAGUCGACCCCUAAGGCGAGGCCGAAAGGCGUAGUCGAUGGGAAACGGGUUAAUAUUCCCGUACUUGGUGUUACUGCGAAGGGGGGACGGAGAAGGCUAUGUUGGCCGGGCGACGGUUGUCCCGGUUUAAGCGUGUAGGCUGGUUUUCCAGGCAAAUCCGGAAAAUCAAGGCUGAGGCGUGAUGACGAGGCACUACGGUGCUGAAGCAACAAAUGCCCUGCUU
rnacentral:rRNA from 2 species